UUGGAGGGCAAGUCUGGUGCCAGCAGCCGCGGUAAUUCCAGCUCCAAUAGCGUAUAUUAAAGUUGUUGCAGUUAAAAAGCUCGUAGUUGAAUUUCGGGGUUAGUACGUCGGUCGUGCCUUAGGUACGUACUGGUGUUACUGGUUCCUACCUUCUGACGAACCAUCAUGUCAUUAAUUUGGUGUGGUGGGGAAUCAGGACUGUUACUUUGAAAAAAUUAGAGUGUUUAAAGCAGGCUCGCGCUUGAAUACAUUAGCAUGGAAUAAUGAAAUAGGACGUUGAUCCUAUUUUGUUGGUUUCUAGGAUUGACGUAAUGAUUAAUAGGGAUAGUUGGGGGCAUUAGUAUUCAAUUGUCAGAGGUGAAAUUCUUGGAUUUAUUGAAGACUAACUACUGCGAAAGCAUUUGCCAAGGAUGUUUUCAUUAAUCAAGAACGAAAGUUAGGGGAUCGAAGACGAUCAGAUACCGUCGUAGUCUUAACCAUAAACUAUGCCGACUAGGGAUCGGAUGAUGUUAUUUUUAAUGACUCAUUCGGCGCCUUACGGGAAAC
rnacentral:rRNA from 1 species